rnacentral:rRNA from 1 species
AUGCUGCCCGUCCAGAUUGGCCAACUGGCCGAUGAUGGAGAUGAGGCAAACAAGGCGUGGACAGGGGAGAAGAGGCGCCGCAAGCACCUGCCCCCAUCAUCUUCCGAUGCUCCUGCCACUGCCCAAGACCAUGGAGACCCAAUUUCUCAUGCCACAGACAUGGAGGACACCAUCCAAGGGGCCCAAGAUCGGAUUCCUCAUGCGACGGACAUGGAGCUGCUGCUCAGAACAGAUUCGGCACAAGAAGAAAGCUACGGGCCGGACUCCCUUGUCAGCGAGGAAGACCAUGGAGACAUGGAGGGCACCAUCCAAGGGUGCCAAGAUCCGAUUUCUCAUGCCACAGACAUGGUGCUGCUGCUCAGAACAGAUUCGGCACAAGAAGAAAUCUUCGGGCCGGACGUCCUUAUCAGGGAGGAAGACCAUGGAGACAUGGAGGACACCAUCCUAGGGGGUCAAGAUCCUUUUCUUCAUGCGACAGACAUGGAGCUGCUGCCCAAAACAGAUUCAGCACAAGAAACAAGCCAGGAUUGCUUCGGGCCGGACUUCCUCAUCAGCGAGGAGGACGAAACCCGUUUUGCCCAACGUUUGCGUUCCAACAUUCCUAUUCCUCGUACUAACCUGCCACUUUAUAUUACAUGGGAGGAAGAAGACAAGAUAGAAGCGCGCCUUGCACGCCUUCGCAUCGCUUAUUACAAGGCUUUGAAGCCGGAGUGCGCACGUGAACUUGAGCUUAAGGAACCAGAAGAAUACACUGAUGAUGAACUUGGUGUUCAGAAACCAUUUCAACACACACUGCAAAAUUCAGCAAUCAAUGAGCUUAUUCUUAACAUGGAUGAUAGUACUUGCGAUGUUGGAUUUGAAAAGCUGCCUUAUAGUGGUCGGAACCUGUACCGCUAUCACGACGAGUACCGCUCACGUUAUCAUACAUAUAAAAUUGAUGAUGUUUAUGUCAAGUACUAUGCAGAAAUUUCAGAGAAAAUCAAGUGGAUUACAAAGUAUUUGCAUCUGGACCGCAGGACGAAGGGUUGGAUAGACAAGGAUACUAGAGCAUGGAGGCAAGCAUUGAAGAUUGCAACUGGCAUUCCUCAUAUGACUGUUUGUUUAGCUGCUUUUGCUUAUAAUGAGUACAUUCUUGAGAUGGAUAAGGAUGCGUCCCUCAAGGACAUAGGUCUUCUCUAUUUUGAGAUCUGGAGGCGUGUCGCUAAGAAAAAUUUAAGUUACAUGGAAGCUGUGAAGGAAGUAUAUGAAAUGGACAAGUUCGAUGUACACAAAAGGAGACUAGAUGGUGAACUGAAAGGGGUUCCUGUCAUUGCAACAAUAAAAGAAUGCAUGCACUACGUUGUCCGACAGGGUGGCAUUGAUGCGAACACCGAUGAGGAUAAAGCUCGGGUUGUGUUUAUGACGGUAUCUCUCAGUAUGCAUAAAGCAAUGAACAUGGCUCAGUACGCUCAGAAGAAGUUGGAUUUAGCAGAUAAGCUGAAGUUGGACAAAGAGGGUGGAGUUGUUCUAUGGGAAAGACCCUUCGAGUUCUGA